rnacentral:lncRNA from 1 species
GGCAUAUGAAGGUUCCCAGGCUAGGGGUCGAAUCAGAGCUGUAGCCACCAGCAUAGCCACAGCCACAGAAGUGCCAGAUCUGAGCCGCGUCUGCGACCUACACCACAGCUCACAUUAACACCAGAUCCUUAACCCACUGAGCGAGGCCCAGGAGCAAACCUGUGUCCUCAUGCAUGCUAGUCAGAUUUGUUUCUGCUGAGCCACAAAGGGAAUUCCUAGAAGGUUGGAACUUUCAGUCCUACCACUUAGACGUCCAGAGAGGAGGAGGGCUGAAAACUGAACUUAACCAAGUGGAUAAUGAUAAAAUUCCAAUGAAUCUCUAGAAACCCAGAGCCCAAGGAGCUUCCUAGUUGGAUCCUCUCAGACUUUGUCCUAUAUAUCUUUUUCAUUUGGCUGUUCCUGAGUUUUAUCCUUUAUAAUAAAGCCAACUGUACAUAUAUCACUUUCAGGGAGUUCUGGAAGUUAUUCUAGCAAAUUAACAAACCUGAGAUGGUCAUAAGAACCCUUGAACUUAGCUGAGGAAUGAGCUGUCCUAAGACUUACUAAAGGGAAGGCAGUCUUCAGGAAAACACUGCCCUCAACUUGUGGGGUCUGGCAUUAACUUAGGGUCGUUAGCAUCUGAAUUGAACUGAAUUGCAUGAUAGCCAGGUGGUGUCAGAGAGUUGCUAUAUCAAUUGAACAGUAACAAUCUCUCAUUGUUAACCUAUCAACUAAAUUAACUUUUUUCCAACAUGGUAUAUUUUCAUUAAGAAGAAAAAAAAUCAGGAGUUCCUGUUGAGGCUCAGUGGUUAAUGAAUCAGACUAAGAACCAUGAGGUUGUGGGUUCGAUCUCUGGCCUUGCUCAGUGGGUUAAGGAUCUGGUGUUGCUGUGGCUGUGGUCUCCAAUUUGACUCCUAGCCUGGGAACCUCCAUAUGUCAAAGGUGCAGCCCUAAGAGACACACAAACACACAAAAAAGCAGUAAUCAUAGCUAGCAAAGGGAACUGAAGCUGAAAGAAUACAUAGCAAGCCAAUAUAAUGCAGAGGUGAGGCCACAAAGGCCACAAGGAAGCAAAACUUACGGCAAAGGUGAAGCCCUAAGUAAGCAGAACCUAUGAAUAAGCUAAAAAUAUGAGGAGGGGAAAAAAAAGAUAAAACAAAAUGGACAGGCCAGGCCAACAGGCAGUAAGAGAAAUAGAGACAAAAGUUAAGACAGAGUAGCUCAGUUACAUAAACGGCACAAUCCUAACAUGAAGAACCACAAACUCUUGCUGCUGAGUUUCCCAGAGCUUCUCUGGACCCAGGUCCCAUUCCCUAAAAGCCAUAACCAUAUUAAAGUUCCCCUAUAUUUGGAAUGUCAUGUGAUUCCAGUCACCAUUAUUUUCCCACAAGCCAAACAAUAACUUGUCAUUAGAUCAUUGUGGAAUCUGUUUCUAGCAAUCAGAAGUGCCUAAUCAAUAGUAAGAAGCAGAAUAGCCCCUCAUGAGGAAUGCAAUUUAGGGAACUGACUGUGAUCUUGUGGAAAACCCCUUGUUUUAAAGAUGCUGUGCAAACCAGCUUGUGGCAUGGAAUUUACAUUUUAUAUUCAAUUUAGAAGGUGAGACGUUGAGAGACUUGGUAGAUGCUGCAAAGAAGCAGCAUUAGGGAGCUAAAGUGGACAGAAUAAAGCAGAUACGUCAUAGUGUCACCCAUGCUCAAAAUUCUUCUAAAGGAAACUGUACUGCAAACAAGUCUAGCCAAGAAAACAUUCUUGCCACCAAUUAUCCCUCCUCUGAAUCCAUGGCUAUUCAGAUCAAGGAUAAGAAUCAGAACCAAGGACAGACAUCCACAAGCCAGUCAUCAGCCUAUGAUUUACUAUAUGAAAGCUGUCCCCAAACAACGAGGUGAGAAAAUUAGGUUUAACUUACAACUGAGGAAAAAGAGAGGAGCAAAAUUACUCUGCAGCUGAAAUGAAUGGAUAUGUGAUCAAAGAAUAUACCACAGCCUAUGUUAAGAAUCAUGAAGGAUUUAAGUAAGAUCAACUGGUAAACCCAAAAAUCAGAAGCUAAAAAUUAGCCGAAACUAUCCAUCAGAAAUAGGAUAAAGAACAGAGGAUGAGGAAGCCAGAUAGCAGCAGGAAGAUACUCAAAGGAUAUACAGAAAGCAGGGUCAUGUAUUCAUUUGUGAGACUUCAGGUUCCAAAAAUAGUUAGGUAUGUAUGGUACUUUUGGAUGUCCCACAACUGGGUUGCCUUCUAGUUUUAGAGCAAUUAAAUGACUCUGGAUAUACCUGUGAUAGGUAAGUUAAGUUAGUCUAAAGCACUUUGGGAUUACAAAAAGGGAAAGGAAACCAUUUCCACAUGGCAAUCAAUAGAGGGAAAUGUCCUAGACUGCCAAAUAACAAAUGCUACACCUGUAGUCUGAGGAAACUUAAUCCACAGGCAAUCGGAUUCUCAAUUUAAUGACAACUGGGCAGUAUGGAGACCAAGAAUGGAAACAGAUACGUGCAGAAAGAUGAGGCUGAGUAGAGACCAUGCCUAUAGAGGCUGCACAAACUCAAGUUAUGAAUGAGAAAAAAACAAAGUACUCAGUAGCUAGGUGGUAGAGGAAGACAGAGUAUGAAGAAACGAGUUGAAAGUAGAAGAUAACAUGCAGAAAACCAGAGAAAUAAGAUGAAUCACAUGAAUAAUACGACAAGGGAGGCAAGUUCUAUAAACUUCUUAAAAUGAUCCAAACGAGC